UACGUAGGGUGCAAGCGUUGUCCGGAAUUAUUGGGCGUAAAGAGCUCGUAGGCGGUCUAUCGCGUCGGCUGUGAAAUCCCGAGGCUCAACCUCGGGUCUGCAGUCGAUACGGGCAAACUGGAGUGUUGCAGGGGAGACUGGAAUUCCUGGUGUAGCGGUGAAAUGCGCAGAUAUCAGGAGGAACACCGGUGGCGAAGGCGGGUCUCUGGGCAACAACUGACGCUGAGGAGCGAAAGCGUGGGGAGCGAACAGG
rnacentral:rRNA from 1 species